rnacentral:rRNA from 1 species
UACAGGGGGGGGCAAGCGUUUGUUCGGAAUUACUGGGCGUAAAGGGUCUGUAGGUGGCCAACUAAGUCAGACGUGAAAUCCCUCAGCUUAACUGGGGAACUGCGUCUGAUACUGGAUGGCUUGAGUGUGGGAGAGGAAUGCGGAAUUCCAGGUGUAGCGGUGAAAUGCGUAGAUAUCUGGAGGAACACCGGUGGCGAAGGCGGCAUUCUGGACCAUAACUGACACUGAGAGACGAAAGCCAGGGGAGCAAACGGGG